CUACGGGACGCACCAGUGGGGAAUAUUGCACAAUGGGGGGAACCCUGAUGCAGCAACGCCGCGUGGAGGAUGACGCAUUUCGGUGUGUAAACUCCUUUUAUAUGUCAAGAAAAUGACGGUAGCAUAUGAAUAAGCACCGGCUAACUCCGUGCCAGCAGCCGCGGUAAUACGGAGGGUGCAAGCGUUACUCGGAAUCACUGGGCGUAAAGGACGCGUAGGCGGGUUGGAAAGUCAGGUGCUAAAUCCUACAGCUUAACUGUAGAACUGCACUUGAAACUUCUAAUCUAGAGUAUGGGAGGGGGAGAUGGAAUUAGUGGUGUAGGGGUAAAAUCCGUAGAUAUCACUAGGAAUACCUAAAGCGAAGGCGAUCUCCUGGAACAUUACUGACGCUAAGGCGUGAAAGCGUGGGGAGCAAACAGGAUUAGAUACCCCUGUAGUC
rnacentral:rRNA from 1 species